rnacentral:lncRNA from 1 species
AUUAAUAAAAUUGAGAAUGGAAAUGGGGAAUGUGUCAAAGAGACAACAACCCGACCAUAGAAAAAACAACAGCAGAAGGUCACUAACAGGUCUUCAAUGUAGCGAGACAUUCCCGCACCCGGAGGCGUCCUUCAGCUGGCCCCUAAACAAAUAUAUACUAGUUCAGUGAUAAUGAACGCCAUACUUAUUUCCGAAUUGUACACAAGAAACUAAAAUUAAAAAAAUACAAGACUAACAAAGGCCAGAGGCUCCUGACUUGGAACAGGCGCAAAAAUGCGGCGGGGUUAAACAUGUUUAUGAGAUCUCAACCCUCCCCCUAUACCUCUAGCCAAUGUAGAAAAGUAAAUGCAUAACAAUACGUACAUGUACAUUUAAAAUUCAAUUCAAGAGAAGUCAGAGUCUGAUGUCAGAAGAUGUAACCAAAGAAAAUAAACAAAAUGACAAUAAUACAUAAAUAACAACA